rnacentral:lncRNA from 1 species
CCAUAAUCAGAAGAACUUGCACUUGUGAAAACAAAAUUAAUAAUGACUAAAAUGAUGGACAUCAUUCAAAGUUCAUGGGCAGAUUCCUCAUUGUAGAUUUGGGUCAAAAUUCUAAAAUACAAAGAGUAACAAAAAUAACAUGAGUACAAUUGUGCUCCUAUUUCUUAAUAUACCGAGUGAAAAUAAAUACAAUGGCCUAUAAUAUAGAGUUUAUGUGCUUUGCAUUAAACUGAAUGCAUGGCAACUGAUCAUUUCUCCAAUCUGUUCUGUUAUAUAAGUAAGCACAUAAUUGGGAGGACUGACAUCCAACUUGGGUAAACGAAAGAAUUAGCAACAUAAUUUAGGAGAUGCCUAUCUUUUGUAGCAUGAAAGUCAGAUAGUCAACAAGUUCUGGAUCAACAAGACCCUGAGCAGAAAAGGUAGACAACAUCCAGCAAAAGGUAGACUCGGUUCUUUCACUCAUGCUUCUCUGGAUUUCUACUUGCUAAAUCCAGUACAUGCUUCUCUGAAUUUCGACAACCUAAGUUCAGUACAUGCUUCUCUCAAUGUUGGCCUGCCAAUUGGUAUUGUAUUGCAGACUUGAGAGUACUGUAUGCAAUCCAUUUGUGCCAAUGGAUUACCAAAUUUUUAUGUUACUUUUAGGCCAUUUGAAUGAAAGGACCUCUAUGACAAUCUACGACAAAACAUUUUGUGCGAAUAAAAUUCAGUACAUGCUUCUCUAAAUAUCUGCAACACAAUUAAGCAAAAUUUGUUCGUAUAUGUUGGCCUGCCAAUUGGUUUUGGGUACUAUGCAUGCAUGUUUCUCAAAUGCAUACUCCAAGUGCCACUUAUGUGCUUAAUAAGGUGAACUUCUGUUUAAAUAAUAAUGUUGGUUUGCCGAAGUUUUCUUGUACGAUACACACUAGCUGCGGGAGGUGAUGUUUUUAAGUUGAAUGGUUUGAGUUUAUGAACCAAAUGGUUGUCUAGUUGCUUCUGAUGUUUGCAACACAAGCAUAUAGAGCUACAAUUGUCAAUCGUUGGAGAAAGCGCUUUUCUGAGACAGCACAUCGAUAAAGACCACUUAUCAAGCAUCACCAUCAGAGGAGAUCAAACUCUUAACAAGGAUGCAAGCGAAGUGAACAUACCUCAGAAUGGAGUUGCUUGCUAUUAUGAAAGCGAGGUGCACUUGGUGUGUACACAUCACUCGGUGAAUCCAAGCUUACUUCCAUUCCCAUAUGCACAAGAGGAUUUGGCAAAAAAAAUCAGCAAUCAAGGAAUAUUUGACAAUCACAAUUAGACUAAGAAACGAAGAUGUACCCGCACUGUAUAUAUAACACUAGAACCCAACUUCAUGUUGUCACCUGCCCUAUUGCUUUUUCUGUCAGAGCUAAACCUGCUGUUCAGAUACACAACAAUGCAUCUUGUCAUAAAUGAGAACACAGAUUAGCUAUAGCAUCCAGAAUUACAUGUAAGAAUGUU